CCUACGGGGGGCAGCAGUGGGGAAUAUUGGACAAGGGGGGGAACCCUGAUCCAGCCAUGCCGCGUGUGUGAAGAAGGCCCUCGGGUUGUAAAGCACUUUCAGUGAGGAAGAACGCCUGGUGGUUAAUACCCAUCAGGAAAGACAUCACUCACAGAAGAAGCACCGGCUAACUCCGUGCCAGCAGCCGCGGUAAUACGGAGGGUGCGAGCGUUAAUCGGAAUUACUGGGCGUAAAGCGCGCGUAGGUGGCUUGAUAAGCCGGUUGUGAAAGCCCCGGGCUCAACCUGGGAACGGCAUCCGGAACUGUCAAGCUAGAGUGCAGGAGAGGAAGGUAGAAUUCCCGGUGUAGCGGUGAAAUGCGUAGAGAUCGGGAGGAAUACCAGUGGCGAAGGCGGCCUUCUGGACUGACACUGACACUGAGGUGCGAAAGCGUGGGUAGCAAACAGGAUUAGAUACCCUUGUAGUC
rnacentral:rRNA from 1 species